GACGAACGCUGGCGGCGUGCUUAACACAUGCAAGUCGAACGGAAAGGCCUGCUUUCCCUUGUGGAUUGCGGGUACUCGAGUGGCGAACGGGUGAGUAACACGUGAGUGAUCUGCCCCCAACUUGGGUAUAAGCCUGGGAAACAGGGUCUAAUUCCCGAUAGGACUGCAGGGUGGUGCCUGUGGUGGAAAACGAUCUUCUAGUGGUUGGGGUUGAGCUCGCGGCCUAUCAGCUUGUUGGUGGGGUAAUGGCCUACCAAGGCGGCGACGGGUAGCCAGCCUGGGAGGGUGGACGGCCACAUUGGGACUGAGAUACGGCCCAGACUCCUACGGGAGGCAGCAGUGGGGAAUAUUGCACCAUGGGCGGAAGCCUGAUGCAGCGACGCCGCGUGGGGGAUGACGGCCUUCGGGUUGUAAACUCCUUUCGACCGCGAGGAAGCCACCUGGUUGGACGGGUGGUGACGGUAGUGGUAGAAGAAGCACCGGCUAACUACGUG
rnacentral:rRNA from 1 species